AGACCGAUAGCGAACAAGUACCGUGAGGGAAAGAUGAAAAGAACUUUGAAAAGAGAGUUAAACAGUAUGUGAAAUUGCCAAGAGGGAAGCAUUUGGAGUUAGAUUGACUAGGAGUUAAUCAGCUUGGUCUUUGGACUGGGUGUACUUGACUUCUAUUGGUCUGCCAAUAGCAGUUAGUCCUAGUGGAAAAAACUAGAGGGAAGGUAGUCCUUCGGGAUGUUUAUAGACCUUUGGAAAAUACACUGGGAUUGACUGAGGAAUGCAGUAGAUGCCACUAAGGCUUCGUCUAGUGGGUGCUAGGCAAAGGUACUGUGGUAUUUUCAGCUUGCUGAUGUGCUAGGUUACCCGAGUCAUAUCGCCUACUAAAAC
rnacentral:rRNA from 1 species